GACGAACCGUGCGAACGUUGUUCGGAAUCACUGGGCUUAAAGGGCGCGUAGGCGGUCCUCCCAGUCCGGGGUGAAAGCUUUCGGCUUAACCGGAAAAGUGCCUUGGAUACUGGAGGUCUGGAGGGAGGUAGGGGCAGUCGGAACUUCCGGUGGAGCGGUGAAAUGCGUUGAUAUCGGAAGGAACGCCGGUGGCGAAAGCGGACUGCUGGACCUUUUCUGACGCUGAGGCGCGAAAGCGUGGGGAGCAAACAGG
rnacentral:rRNA from 1 species